CAUUGGGUUUAAAGGGUGCGUAGGCUGUGCGUCAAGUCGGGGGUGAAAUUCCGGUGCUCAACACCGGGGCUGCCCUUGAUACUGUCGCGCUGGAGUGCGGAUGCCGCCGGAGGAAUGAGUGGUGUAGCGGUGAAAUGCUUAGAUAUCACUCAGAACACCGAUUGCGAAGGCAUCUGGCGAAUCCGUAACUGACGCUGAGGCACGAAAGCGUGGGGAUAGAACAGGAUUAGAUACCCUGGUAUUCCACGCCGUAAACGAUGAUGGCUAACCGCCGGCGACACACUGUCGGUGGCCAAGCGAAAGCGAUAAGCCAUCCACCUGGGGAGUACGUCGGCAACGAUGAAACUCAAAGGAAUUGACGGGGGCCCGCACAAGCGGAGGAACAUGUGGUUUAAUUCGAUGAUACGCGAGGAACCUUACCCGGGCUCGAACGGCACCUGGAUCACCCAGAGACGGGUGAGUCUUCGGACAGGUGUCGAGGUGCUGCAUGGUUGUCGUCAGCUCGUGCCGUGAGGUGUCGGCUCAAGUGCCAUAACGAGCGCAACCCUUGCCGCCAGUUGCCAUCAGGUGAUGCUGGGCACUCUGGCGGGACUGCCACCGCAAGGUGUGAGGAGGGGGGGGAUGACGUCAAAUCAGCACGGCCCUUACGUCCGGGGCGACACACGUGUUACAAUGGCGGCCACAGAGGGAAGCUACCCCGCGAGGGGAUGCGGAUCUCGAAAAGCCGUCCCAGUUCGGACUGGAGUCUGCAACCCGACUCCACGAAGUUGGAUUCGCAAGUAAUCGCGCAUCAGCCAUGGCGCGGUGAA
rnacentral:rRNA from 1 species